AAACGACUCUCGGCAACGGAUAUCUCGGCUCUCGCAUCGAUGAAGAACGUACGCAAAUGCGAUACUUGGUGUGAAUUGCAGAAUCCCGUGAACCAUCGAGUCUUUGAACGCAAGUUGCGCCCCAAGCCGUUAGGCCGAGGGCACGCCUGCCUGGGUGUCACGCA
rnacentral:rRNA from 1 species